GAUGAACGCUAGCGGCAGGCCUAACACAUGCAAGUCGAGGGAGAAGCCCUUCGGGGCGGAAACCGGCGCACGGGUGCGUAACGCGUAUGCAACCUACCUUUCACAGGGGGAUAGCCCGAAGAAAUUUGGAUUAAUACCCCAUAAUAUUAUUGGGUGGCAUCAUUUGAUAAUUAAAAUUACGAUGGUGAAAGAUGGGCAUGCGUCCUAUUAGCUAGUUGGAGUGGUAACGGCACCCCAAGGCUACGAUAGGUAGGGGUCCUGAGAGGGAGAUCCCCCACACUGGUACUGAGACAGGGACCAGACUCCUACGGGAGGCAGCAAUGAGGAAUAUUGGUCAGUGGUCGGAAGACUGAACCAGCCAUGCCGCGUGCAGGAAGAAUGCCUUAUGGGUUGUAAACUGCUUUUAUAUGGGAAGAAUAAGGUGUACGUGUACAUUGAUGACGUACCAUAUGACAGC
rnacentral:rRNA from 1 species